CGGAGGGUGCAAGCGUUAUCCGGAUUUACUGGGUUUAAAGGGUGUGUAGGCGGGCUUUUAAGUCAGUGGUGAAGUCUCCGGGCUCAACCUGGAAACUGCCAUUGAUACUAUUAGUCUUGAAUUUUGUUGAGGUAGGCGGAAUAAGUCAUGUAGCGGUGAAAUGCAUAGAUAUGACUUAGAACACCAAUUGCGAAGGCAGCUUGCUAAACAAAUAUUGAUGCUGAGGCACGAAAGCGUGGGGAUCAAACAGGAUUAGAUACCCUGGUAGUCCACGCCCUAAACGAUGAUUACUCGACAUACGCGAUACACAGUGUGUGUCUGAGCGAAAGCAUUAAGUAAUCCACCUGGGAAGUACGACCGCAAGGUUG
rnacentral:rRNA from 1 species